GACGAUUUGGAUUCUCCAGAGUGACUUCCAUCCUGGCUUUUUGAUCUCAAGAUUCUCAGUUGUCAUCGGCUGGCAGUCGGACCUCACCUCCACUUCCGUCAAGUCAUCGCUUACCUGCCCGCCCUCCACCGCAGCCUCCUUGCCGAGGAACCCGCUCGUUUAUGGAAGCUGGAUCCGUUGACUUCAGCCUGGAACCCACAGACUACCUCCCUGAUUGUGCUCAAUCUUUCCCAAGUAAGAACCUGUCUAUUCCCAUCGUAACUCCCGUUUCCCAGUUGACCCGAACUCACCAUCUCCUCCUGUUUCGCAGUUCUCCGCUGUCCUCCAGACUCCACCCCAGGAUCCCCACCACAUCACAUUACUUUGCUUCAAAUAAAAAUCUUUAACUGA